AGUAGUAGUAGUAGUAAUCCUAGGAAGGCAAUCAAUCACCCAUUCUCUGUUAACAUGAUCUAUUUUAAGGGUAAUUUAACUUAUUUUUUGCAUACUGUUCUCACACACACACACUCCAUGGUUCUGUGGUUAGUGUGCUCGCCUGACAACCAAGAAGUCCUGGGUUCGAUUCCUGGGUGAAGUGAAGAUGAAUCCGCUGUCUUCUUACAUCAGUGCCUCCUAUCCAUCCAGCAGUGAAUAAGUACCUUGUCUUAACCCGUCCGCUGCGAUUAGCACUGAUUUCGCCGUCACUGGUAGCCUGGUAACAUACACUCCCAGGUCUUUCUCUGCCUCUGUGGUGGAUAGUGGAGUGUUUCCCAUGUGGUAUUGGUGUGCUGGAUAUCCCUUCACUGGUAGCCUGGUAACAUACACUCCCAGGUCUUUCUCUGCCUCUGUGGUGGAUAGUGGAGUGUUUCCCAUGUGGUAUUGGUGUGCUGGAUAUCCCUUCACUGGUAGCCUGGUAACAUACACUCCCAGGUCUUUCUCUGCCUCUGUGGUGGAUAGUGGAGUGUUUCCCAUGUGGUAUUGGUGUGCUGGAUAUCCCUUCACUGGUAGCCUGGUAACAUACUCUCCCAGGUCUUUCUCUGCCUCUGUGGUGGAUAGUGGAGUGUUUCCCAUGUGGUAUUGGUGUGCUGGAUAUCCCUUCACUGGUAGCCUGGUAACAUACACUCCCAGGUCUUUCUCUGCCUCUGUGGUGGAUAGUGGAGUGUUUCCCAUGUGGUAUUGGUGUGCUGGAUAUCUCCUUCCAAGCUACAGGACUUUACAUUUUUCUUCAUUGAAUUGUAGCAGCCACUUUUUGUUCCAUUCCUGUAGCUUGGUGAGGUCUUCUGGUAGGAAAUCCGCAGUCAAGGGUUAAUAGUUAGUGUGUUUGUGUGAGAUACUUUUAGCCCAAUUUUUGCUAAGUUAACAGCUCCCAGGUUCGAUUCCAGAGCAGAGGAGAGACAGAUUGGUACCGUCAAUGUUACUGAAUAUAUAGCCCAAGAAUUUAGUGGAUAUUUUAGGCAUCAGGAGGGAAGGGUCUCUGUCUGGAGGAUCUUCUUGGUCUAGUGGACUUUGUAGUAUUUUGGGGGCCUGUUAGUACUUAUUUGAAGGCAAGUAUUAAUAUUUUUAGGCCUUAAUACUAACUCAGAUAUUAACUAACAUUUUGGGGCCUGUUAGUACUUUAUUUGAAGGCAAGUAUUAAUAUUUUUAGGCCUUAAUACUAACUCAGAUAUUAACUAACAUUUUGGGGCCUGUUAGUACUUAUUUGAAGCCAAGUAUUAAUAUUUUUAGGCCUUAAUACUAACUCAGAUAUUAACUAGCAUUUUGGGGCCUGUUAGUACUUAUUUGAAGGAAGUAUUAAUAUUUUUAGGCCUUAAUACUAACCCAAAUAUUAACUAACAUUUUGGGGGCAUGUUAGUACUUUAUUCGAAACCAAGUAUUAAUAUUUUUAGGCCUUAAUACUAACCCAAAUAUUCGAAGCCAAGUAUUAAAAUUUUUAGGCCUUAAUACUAACCCAAAUACUACUGAGCCCAUAAUACCUCAAAGACCCUCCGUAGAAAGCCUCGUAACAUCGUCUUAAAAGAAACACGUCGAACAAUCCCCAGACAUUUAUUUAAAGACUUUCCGAGCAUGACAGACACAGUACGAGGGUCACAGACUGGAGUGUAAGGUUCCUGUGGUGUUCCGAGGGCACAGGAACGCAAUGAAGUCUUCCUAUAAUGUUAACGUAAUCAUAAAGUUCAUUCACAAGUUUAUCUAUCCACAGUUCCCGGGCGGAGUGGAAAAAUUUUGGUGGCUUUUCCGAUACCCUACGCCCCCGUCCACCCAGCAGUGAAUGGGUACCAGGUAUUAAUCCAGGGUUGUGUCCCGUCUCCUGGGGUCUGUUCCCUUCUCCUAUAAUUCCUUCCCCUUCCGUCUCUUUCCAGCAUAUGACCACAGAUGUUGCGCUGACUAAACAAAACUUUCCCUUCUCCUAUAAUUCCUUCCCCUUCUGUCUCUCUCCGGCAUAUGACCACAGAUGUUGCGCCGACUAAACAAAACUUUCCCUUCUCCUAUAAUUCCUUCCCCUUCCGUCUCUCUCCGGCAUAUGACCACAGAUGUUGCGCCGACUAAACAAAACUUUCCCUUCUCCUAUAAUUCCUUCCCCUUCCGUCUCUCUCCAGCAUAUGACCACAGAUGUUGCGCCCACUAAACAAAACUUUCCAACUUCUUAAUGGUCCCUCUAAGCACUGAGGACGUGACCAGCUGCACCCUAAUCAACAAACUUAAACUUUACCGAAAAUUUAGUCUGUUUCAGUAAAGGUAAAGUUUGUGGUAUACGGUAUAGCUGGGCGUGUCCUUGGUGGUCAUCUCCGUGUCGUCCAGUGUUGCCAGAUUGUCGUACUUUGCCUCAUAUCCUUUUUUUUUUUGUUACAUCAGAGGACACGGCUCAAGGGCAAUAAAAUGUCAAAAAAAAAAAAGAGAAGAAGAAGAAGCCCGCUACUCGCCGCUCCGUGAACGAUAAUCUGGCAACAGUGGUCUCCUUGCGCCUUGAGCCUGUGGGGAGCAGGAAUCCAGCACCCCAGGACACAGGGCAGGAGGGACAUCCAGGUUACCACAAUGUGCGUUACCCAGGGGUCCCCAGGCGCAAAUUUACCCCCCACACACACACUAAGGGAGGAGCAACACCUGCAUGUUGACUGCCCGGGCUGGGAUUCGAACCCUGGCCAGUGGAUUCAUACGUAGGCACACUAACCACUGCACCACGGAGGCUGAAUUUCUGGGGAUAGAUAAAAUAUAUUUGAUAGGUAAUAUUGCUCAAAAUCUCUUAGGAUGUCGUGGUAACUAAGAAUAUAUCCCUUACACUGACCACUGCACCAGAGGCCAUGAUUCUGUGGAUAGAUAAGUUGGAGAGUUUUGUUUAGUGGGCGCAACAUCUUUGGUCAUAUGCCGGAGAGAGACAGAAGGGGAAGGAAUUAUAGGAGAAGGGAAAG